rnacentral:rRNA from 1 species
AGCAGCCGCGGUAAUUCCAGCCCCAAUAGCGUAUAUUAAAGUUGUUGCAGUUAAAAAGCUCGUAGUUGAAUUUCGGGAUCAAUACGUCGGUCGUGCCUUCGGUACGUACUGUCGUCAUUGGUUUCUCCCUUCUGACGAACCAUGAUGUCAUUAAUUUGGUGUUAUGGGGAGUUAGGACUGUUACUUUGAAAAAAUUAGAGUGUUUAAAGCAGGCAUCAGCUUGAAUACAUUAGCAUGGAAUAAUGAAAUAGGACGUUCGAUCCUAUUUUGUUGGUUUCUAGGAUCAACGUAAUGAUUAAUAGGGAUAGUUGGGGGCAUUAGUAUUCAAUUGUCAGAGGUGAAAUUCUUGGAUUUAUUGAAGACUAACUACUGCGAAAGCAUUUGCCAAGGAUGUUUUCAUUAAUCAAGAACGAAAGUUAGGGGAUCGAAGACGAUCAGAUACCGUCGUAGUCUUAACCAUAAACUAUGCCGACUAGGGAUCGGAUGAUGUUAAUUUUUUAAUGACUCAUUCGGCGCCUUACG